rnacentral:rRNA from 1 species
CAGUAGCCACGGUAAUACGGAGGGCGCGAGCGUUACCCGGAUUUACUGGGCGUAAAGGGCGUGUAGGCGGCCUGGGGCGUCCCAUGUGAAAGGCCACGGCUCAACCGUGGAGGAGCGUGGGAUACGCUCAGGCUAGAGGGUGGGAGAGGGUGGUGGAAUUCCCGGAGUAGCGGUGAAAUGCGCAGAUACCGGGAGGAACGCCGAUGGCGAAGGCAGCCACCUGGUCCACUUCUGACGCUGAGGCGCGAAAGCGUGGGGAGCAAACAGGAUUAGAUACCCCUGUAGUCCCUGUCUCUUAUAC